UCACGCCAGUGAUACAGAGAUGUUUCUAAUAUACAACUAUUUGGCGGGUGGUAAUUUGGAAAAGUUUAUUCAGGAAAGGUCUACAAGGGCUGUGGAUUGGAGGGUACUUCACAAGAUUGCUUUGGACAUAGCCCGUGCACUUGCCUACCUACAUGAUCAAUGCGUACCACGUGUUCUUCAUCGGGACGUCAAGCCGAGCAAUAUUUUGUUGGAUGAUGAUUUUAAUGCGUAUCUCUCAGACUUUGGUUUGGCCAGACUUCUGGGAACUUCAGAGACUCAUGCUACUACCGGUGUUGCUGGAACGUUUGGAUAUGUUGCCCCGGAAUAUGCAAUGACUUGCCGAGUUUCAGAUAAGGCUGAUGUAUAUAGUUAUGGCGUUGUGCUACUGGAGUUACUCUCUGACAAGAAGGCACUGGAUCCCUCCUUCUCUUCGUAUGGAAAUGGAUUCAACAUCGUUCAGUGGUCAUGUAUGCUUCUUCGGCAAGGCCGGGCAAAGGAAUUCUUCACCGCUGGGUUAUGGGAUGCAGGUCCCCAUGAUGACUUAGUAGAAGUUCUUCACUUGGCAGUAGUGUGCACGGUUGACUCUCUCUCAACUAGGCCUACAAUGAGGCAAGUUGUACGACGGCUUAAGCAACUUCAGCCUCCAUCUUGCUAGCUGCUUUACAAGGUUUGUAGUGGUUAACAUUAGUAGUCUGUAGAAAGAGGAGCUCCAUUUGUCACAUGUGCCUGCGCAUUCGGUGCGCUUUGGUGACACUGGUGCUAGGUUGAUUUCUAAACCUUAGUGAUCCAACUUGUACAUUGUAUGAUAGUUCUGCCCCCAAUUUUUUUCAAUGUUUCUUCUCCGAAUAGGGGCCUGGCCAGCGAAUCUGCAGAAGAAUGCAGAUAUUCCAUUUCCUCGUCUUAUACGUGUAUAUUCAGCUUCAUUUGUUCAAUAAAACAUAGAGUUGAUAUGUUUUCUGGAAAUUAUAGAAACUUUUUAGCAUCGUCAAGUUAUUCAUAUCUGUUUUAUGAUGCGCAGAAAUGGUCGGUCAUUGACCUAUCCAAGGAUCGAGGAACAAAUCACACAUGCAUCAACAUCUUCAGUUCUUUGAACGAAAACGAACUUUAAAAGCGACAUAAAGACAUGGACACUUACAGUAUCAUGAUCAUUCGCUUGCGACAUUUAUAACAUACAUGAGCAUGCAAUCGUCUUUAAAACACUGAUCACCAAUGCCGGAAUACUGAUUCUCAAUCACUUGCGUUACAAGCCUCUUGCCAAGCAGAGUCGAUCUUAACUACAAAACAAGGGAUCAGAAUCUUUCUUUGGUGGACGGAACACAUACGCUUCCCUAGCCAUUCGUGUUCUUUUGGGAUUUUUCUCUUGUACACACGCAUUGGCCCUCCCUCCUUUGCCUGUCUGGACCUCGUCAACAACACUAGGGUAUGUCCCCAACGUCCCAUCUAAAGGUUUUGUGGGCCCCACUCCUCCCUUCUGGGAGGACAUACCACGCGGGUUCCUUUUUCUUCGGCCACCUGUGCAGAGGUCUUCAGUCUUGAGGAAUCCUUUUUUCUUCUUAUUCCUUCCCUUUCUCACUCACUUAUAAAUCUGGUAAGUUUUUACACAAUCCGUUAACAAGACACGUAAAGAACCCGUUAAUAACAGAUCUUUAACAGAUUUACACAAGAAUGACAAGCAAGUAACCCAUUCUGAUACGUUAAGAAAAAAAAUUAUUUUGAUGAUUUUAAUUUUUUAAACUAUUAAAAAAAACUUGCUAUAAAGUACAAUAGCCGUAGUGUAUAUGUAAUUAUGUAUAUAUGGUGUAUUAAAAAUGUAUUAUUAUAUAUAAAUUUUAAUAUUUUAAGAUUUAUUAUUUAUUUGAGUAAAUUACACAGUAACCCUUCAGGUUUGAGGUAUUGCACAAACUCAUACAACAUCUUUAAAACAUUUCACUUUCAUACCUUAUGUACCAUUUUAUUUCAAAAUAAUACCUUCGUUACAUUUUUCAUCCAUUAAUCCGUUAAAUGCUGACGUGGCAGCCACGUGACAAAUUUUUUUUUAUUUUUAAAAAAAAAAACCUAAAUCUUCUAAAUAAAUAUUAAAAAAAAAAAAAAAAAAAAACUGAAACCUUCCCUUAUCCUCCUCUCCAAAGGGAAGGAAAAAAAAACCCAUAUCACGUCUACGCCGCCAUCACCGGGUUCGUGAGUUGGAAUCGGGUGCAAGGGUAGGUGCGGGUGCUAGGGGAAGACGAACUGGGUUGUUUUUUUUUUUUUUUUUUUUUUUUGGGUUGUAGGAAGGUGUUUUGGGGGAAGAAGAUGAACAUGGAGGAAUGAGAAGGGGAAGGAGAAUGGUGGGGUGGGGUGAGGGUAGGGGUGGGGGUUUGGGGGGUUAUCAUUUAUGGGCUUCUGGUUUGAGGGGGACGCGGGUGGGGUGGGGUGGGGGGGGGGUACGGGGGUGGUUUAUUUCAGUUUAUUUUUUAUUUUUUAUAUUUAUUUAGAAGAUUUAGGUUUUUUUUUUUUAAAUUAAAAACUUUUUUUUGCCACGUGACACACAUUUGGCAGCCAUGUGGUAGCCACGUCAGCACUUAACGGAUUAAUAGAUGAAAAAUGUAAUGGAGGUAUUAUUUUGAAAUAAAAUGGUAUGUGAAGUAUGAAAGUGAAAUGUUUUAAAGAUGUUGUAUGAGUUUGUGCAAGACCUCAAACCUGAGGGGUUACUGUGUAAUUUACCCUAUUUAUUUUUAUAGUAUACCAUAGGCAAAGAGUGAGAUUAAAAAAAUUAUAAGACACAUUAGAAAUAAAAAUAUAAUUUAAAAAUACCAAAUGCAACUCUCUUCAUUUUGCAUAUCCUUGAACAUUUGGUAUUUGUAAUAAUAUACUAAUGUUUUUUCAUUAGGCUCUUAUUUUGGGGUAUGUAAACUUGAUAGACAAAUGUUUUGUUUUAUUUUAUUUUUUAUUUUAAUGUUUUGAAGUAAUUUACGUGGCAAUGUGGCAUGCAUAUACUAAUUUAGUAUUGUAUUUUUCAAUUUUUUUUUGUAAAAUUAUGUUUUGCAUUUUCAUUAUUUAUUGAUUUAAAAUAUAUCUUCUUUAACAUGUAACAUGUCGGGUCAUAUUACCUGAUAAUAUUAACGGGGGGUCAUAUUACUCGUUUACUUUAACGGGUAUUACACAACACGACCGGUUAAGGUAUCAGAUAUGUCACGAAAAUGACACGAACACAAAAAACACGACACGAAUGAGAAGUCUACUCAUUUAACAACAAAGAGCUUUCGCAAGGAGAAUCACCUUACAACAACCAAAAUGUGUUUGGAGGCGUUAUUUCAAAUUAAUCAAUCAAUGUUUAUGUGGUAAGUAAAAAAAAUUCAACAGCCACCAAAUACAACAAAACCAUGAAAAUAUAAGAGCCUGUUUGAUAUCCUAUAAAAAAAAUUCAUCAUUUCUCAAAAACACUUCUCAAGAAUAUCUCUUAACAACUCUUGAAAAUAAUUUUUUUAAGACUCAAAAACUUGUUUAGUAUGAGAUUUAAAAUUGGUUUUAUAUCUUAAAACUUAAACUGGACACAAAAAUCCAAAGAGAGAGUCACAUGAAAGGGAGAAUGAGGAAAGAGGAGGAAAUAAACAAAUAGAGGAUCAUAUAAGAGAAAAAGACGAGAUAAGAUCAAAGGAGAUAGAUAGGAGGAGAGAAAGAAGAAAAAAGAAAGAAAAUGAAGAGAAUGGAAUGUAGGAGAGAGAAAAUUGAAAAAAACAAUGAGAAAGAGGAGAGAGAAUAAAAAAGACAGUGGAUUUUAAGUUUAAAAUAUUUUGGUGCUUUUGGAGAAUUGAUUAUUUUUUAAGUUAAUAUGAGUUUAAUUUUUUAAAAACAGUCGUGCCAAACAAAAGUUUAAGGCUUAAAACUCAAAAAGUACUUUUGAAUUAAAAAAGUUGAAUUCAAAUAGAAUGAUGGGUAAAUCCUAAAAAAAUUUAACUUUAAAAAGAAUGGAAAAAACAAAGUAGAGGAGGAAGAAACAUGUAAUAGAAAAAGAAGAGAAUGUUGUAAAAUCGACUGUAUGUGUGCGGUGGAACAUAAAGUAGACGAGACACAAUAUUUACGAGGUUCGGCAAGUGUGCCUACGUCCUCAGGCAGCAGUAAUACUUUCUUUCAUUACGCGAAAUAAUAGGAGUACAAAGAUAACUCUCACUAUUUUCUUUCUUCUCUCUAGCCCAGCCACUGGUAUUUUAUUUUGUAUCACUCUUCUUUCUUUUCCUCUUCUCCUCUAUUAUUUUCUUUCUUUCUUUUCUCUUCCUUCCGUAUGUGUCUUUCUUCCACAUGCUCCUUUGUUUUAUAGGCAAAACAAGAGCACUGAAAGCAAGCAGCAGCAGCUCUUAGUGGAAUGGCAUGUUAUGGAGGACAACCUUAUUUCCACUUGCUUGUUUAGUGGACAACUAUCUUGAUUCCUUUGUUGAGUGGACAUCUAAUAUUUACAACACUCCCAUUGGAUGGCCAUAUGUUAAUAUUGGCCACCUCGUUAAAAUCUACAGAGGACGGUGCCAUUCCACCAACGAACCUAGACACAUAUAGAGACCACUUAGUAAAACUCUACUAAAAUGGUUGAAUUUGGAUAAACAAACAACGGAUUUGGAUUCGGAUUUGGCACGUCGAGAAACCUAAGGAGGGACCUCGGGUUCUUUCACACGCCACCACGAGGCAGCGGCUCGAAAAGCCACGUGCCACCACGCACCUAGUUGACCUGUCGAAAAGUUCAUCGGAAAAGUCUACGGCGGUAGAGGCGCAUGUGCUCCAUGUCCAGGCCAUGACUAUUCUCCACGUGGACCCACAUGCAGCCCACGCGUCGACAUAUGAUCUGGGUUUUAGGCUCGGGUCGGGUCGGAUCCAAAUCGGAUCUGGGCUUGGGUUGCUAGGUUGGGGCGGGUAGCUAGGUUAGGCUAAGUAGUGGGUUUUGGAUCUGGGUUCUAGGUUAAUGGAUUGAGCCUGGGCUUGGUCCGGGAUACAUGGUCCAAGGGUUUGGGCUGGUUUGGGAUUACGGGUCGGGUCAAUUCGAUUUCAGGUUGUGGUUCGGCCAGACUCUACGAAGAAGAAAGCCGGAGCUUCCCAAGCUCCGAUCAACCCCAAAAGUUAACUAAAACUAGUCAUUCAAUAUACCAAUUUGAAGCCUAAAAAUAACAAAGGGUUAGUCGGAAAAUAGCCUACAAGUUUUGGGUUCUCAUCGGAAAACUAGGGAACUUUCCUCCAAGGUGUAUUUCUAUGUCAAACGAUACAAUGAGGCCAGAAACAACAUGAAAUUAUGAUCUAGGAGAACCCACAUCGGUUUUGAAGCUUACCUUGCUCGUAAUUGAUAGUCAACAUGAAAUUGAUAGUUCGCCGAGAACUCAACGGGAAAGUCGGGACAUCGAGACACCAUGUUCUCAGCCUGGGUUCAAGACACCGAGAUUCCUAAGAUGAUGGUGGUCUCGGUGGUGUUGUCGAAGAGGGAGGGAUAAGGAAGAGAUGAAGAAUGUUUAUUGGGAAGAGACAAAAAGAGAGAGAUGUCACGGGAGAGAAGAAUGAGACACCACAGAAAUGGGAAAGGAAAUUGCCACGGGUCAGCACAUGAGUGACCCAAAGUGGUAAGUAUCUCCACUUCAAAAAUUACCAAAAUGCCCUUAUCGUUUUGAGUUUCGUCAAAUAUUCGUUCUAACUUCAAAUUCGAUUCCACUUGAUUCCAUACGUUUGUGACGACGAGUAUUAUAAGGAUACACCAAGGAAAAGAGCCUUACGUGUCACAACAUGGCAAUAAACAAAAAUUAACGUUUUUACCUCGAAGGGCAUUUUUGUAAUUUCAUGCUAUAAAAUUAUAAAAACUGUAAUAUUUGGAAACAGGUCAUUACAUUGAGACUUCAAUCCAUGAGGCAACUCUGUAACUUGUAAUCAAUUAGUAAUUUUCAUUACCUUUUUGUACAUCAUGUGAAUUAUAUAAACUGAUAGUGUUUGUUGGGGUUGUGAGUAGGAUUCCAUCAUUGAACUUUAGCCUUCCAUUCACUUAGUUAGCCACCAUUUUUUUCCUUUUGGACUUCUAUGGCCUCAUCGUUGAUCUUUCUGCUUUAGUCUCUUGCACAGUAGAAGUGGUGCGCAACCUUUGCCCUAGGAUGGUCCAUCACUUCUUGGUGACUCAUCCAUGCUUGGCAUCUUUAGUGUAAAGAGCCAAUAGCGUACUAAUUAUUCUGCGAUGUUGGUGACUUGAGACCUAGCUCCAACAAUAGUUGAAGAUGACUACUCGAGAGCAAUGCAAGGAAAGCAAUCUGGGAAAGGUCCUAGGAAGUCAGUUCCUGACUGGAAGUUUGAUUUCAGGUUCUAACUGAUUGCUUUCUUUCUCUUUGCCUUGCAAGUAAGAGCAAGGGCAAAGAAAAAGAUAGGGAAAUAGCAUGAUAUGAGAUACUCUUGUUCUUGACCAUGAUGAUAUGAGAUACUUUUGCUCUUGAAGAUAAACAGUAGAAGGAUUUGAUGUUGAUGUAAACCUUCUCGAUCGAAAUGGGUUUCUUGCUGAGAAAGUGAGUUUGACAUUUUGAAGGACAUGGUUGAACAAGUGUUCAAGAGAAGGAAGACUGAAUAUGUUGAAAGUUUUGGCUGCAGAUGCAUUCUCGGCAAGGAAGAUGAGUUAGGCGUUUUGGAGGUGUGCCUUGCCAUGGAGGAUGAAGGUCGACAUAUAUAGGGAUUUCCCAAUUGCAGGUAGUGGUGCGAAUGUGGCCUUGUCACCCACGAUUGUUGGCAACAGUGGUGUAGUUGGAAUAAUUAACUUUAUGCAUUUUAACUUUGCCAGAGAUAUUUUGACAAAGUUGUCAUUGAUAUCCUGAAAGCUGAGAUUGCAUCUGAGAAGUGUUGAUGAACUUUAUUUAGGAAAAUCCGGUUUUUAAAAUUCAGAAAGCGAUAUCUCUUCGAUUUUUGAACAUGUGGUUGUGUUGCCUCUCAUAAUAUUGCCCGCCUGUAAAAAUAGUCUAUGUUGUAUUUCUGAGAUUUCACUCUACCCAACCCUUUUCUUUCAACAUUUCUGAAAAUGGCUUGCUCAUCCAACCUUUGUUUAGAUUUGAGUCUUGGGGGAGAUGCACAUGAGCUGCGUUAGGAUAAUAUAUGGCGCCUAUCCUUUUUAUCUUCUAAUGACCCUCUUACAGUUGGAGACUUUAUGACGAGAUAUGAUAUAACAGCUACAAUAGUAGGUAGAAACAUUCUCACUCCCAAAGAUAAUAGAAUUCUUUCAAAGAAGUCUGAUGAAUUGUCUGUUUAAGACUCUUUGGCUUUCAGUGUUCGAUGUGCAGGUUCUGUAUCCAAUAUGAGCCAACGUCUACUUGCUCGAACUCGCCAAGUCGAAACAUUAAUGGCGCAAGUCUUAGACAAGAAAUUAGAGGGCUCAAACACGAGAAUAAAGAGUUGCACAAACUUGCAAAUAUUUACUCGACGAGCAUGAAAAGAAAGCUCGACCAGCUACUGGAAUCCGAAAGUCGGAUUCAAAGUGAUCACCAGAGAUUCGUGGCUAGGGUGUCACAUGAUUAAUCUUCAGUGCCUCCUCCUUUUGGGGUAUUGCCAAUUAAUAAGGCUUCACAUGAGCAACCUUUGUGAAGGCCCCCACCCCCCAAAUUUUUUGUUUUUUGUUUUUGUAGUUGUAACUCACAUAUAUGUAUAAAAAAAUAAAAUAAAAAUCUCCCAUUUGAUUUUAUACAUGUCUGAAAGCUUAUACUUUAGCUUGUUAUAUAUGGGAAUUGGGAACCCAUGAAAACUUUUGGUUCCAUCAACAUGAUUCAAUGAGCUUUUAAGUAUAAAUAUUUUCUAAUAUCAUGUGCUUCCACAUGAGUUCUCGAGCAUUAUGAAUUCAUGAAAGUAUCUCUUGUGUAAGAUGUCGAUGGUCACAAAGUUAGGUUUUGCUAAGUUCACCAUUUUCUUAUUCCCAAAAGGAAGAAAUUCAGGUAUGAUGGAAAUUGCGAUAAUUAACUCAUACCACAUAUAACACAUGUCUACACAAAAUGUUAGAACUUCAAUUCUUCACAUUAUUCAUAUUUUGAACAUCAGGUCAAAAUAUUAUUCAUAUGUACUCGAAAUUUAUUUUCAAAAUCGACAUCAUUAGAACCUAUAGGUUCAUAUUUUUGGAAUUCAUACUCAUACUUAAUCUGUACAUGGAUUAAAAAACUUAUGAUCUUACAUGAAUCAAGGAACUUCUGACCCUCAUUUAAUAGUUUGUGGACUAAGGUGCUUAUGGCCAUCACUUUAUUUUAAUUGAGGAACUGCUGCUCUCUCAGUUGAUUCAAAACUUCAGGUUUUGAUUUUUGAUCAAGGAACUUCGGAUCCGAUCUUUUUAUAUGAUGAGGAUCAAGAAACUUCAGGUUCUGAUUUGAUUAAGGAACUUCAGAUCCUUUAAAUACUCAUCAUAACAAAAUGUGAUACACUAAAUAAAUUAAAGCAAUAGACUGUAAUUUCAGCUAUGAUAAAUAAAUUGCUUUUAAGUAAAUAAAACUUGUGACAAUAGCGUUGAUUCAGCUCGAUUUGCAUAAAUAUCAAAACUUUAAUGCAAAAUUUCACCCAUCGUAAAUAAAUAGAACUUGUGAUGAAGUUUUAAACCAGCACCACUCGCAUAAACAUACCAAAACAGAAGAUGCAGUGAUUAAGUCUCCAUCUUUUUUUUAUUUUUUUUAUUCAUCUCACAUGGUAUAAUGCACCAUUCCAAAAGCUUUGGCCUCAUUUCCCUUUUUAUAAUUUUUAUUCUCUUGGACUGGAUUGUUCGUCCAGGUUCUGGAAAUGUAAAUGGGGACUUUAAUCCUUUGGUCAUCAUUUGGUGCACCCCAAGUUAUCUGGGUGUUCUGUGCUUCGCCGGCAAACUGCCAUCUCCGACAUAUGGAGUACCAGGGCCGAGCUCAAUCAAGGCUCAAGGCCAUCGUCCGUGAAACCUUCGAGGACGAUACGACCUUCUACGAUCUCAUUCGAGCCUGGGUCGUCAUCGAUCUUGUCACCAGAGAACCAUGGUGAUUCCAAGCGCCUCAGGCGCUGGAUGUCGACAAGAAGGUAUACAAGUUCGAGAUUGCUUCAGGCGUUGGGCUGUGGAAUUGAGUCCAAUCUCUCACCUUUUUCUUUCUUUAAAUAACCACCACUAAUUUCCUGCUCUAAAAAGCACUGAUGGGUUGUGAAGCCCAAAAGUUCAACAAUCUUUGGGACUUUGUUGGGAUUUGGAAGUGGGAACCUGCAAGCAGAGCCUUCCCCUCCUUUUUCCUUUUUUUUUAAAUAUUUUUUUUUCUUUUCUUAUUGGAAUUUUCACCAUCAUCUUUCCCAGGUGCAUAGUUGAAUUUGCACCAUGUAUGUACUCCUUUAUUAUGCAAAUAAUAGAAGUCAUAUAACAAGAUAUAUGUCAAAUUAAUCGUAUUGAGAUAUGAAAAUAAAAUGAGAAGAUUUUCUUGUCUGUGAAAUUUUAGUCAACAACAGAGAGAUGAGAGGUAGGGAGUGCUUCAUCGGAUUUGUGGGGUGUGAUUUUUACUGAUAUAAGAAUUUCUCGUACUUAUAAUAUGUUGUAAAACUAACGGUAUAUGUGUAAUGAAAUAUAAAGUAAAUGAGACAAUAUUUGCGAAAUUCGGCAAAUGAGCUUAGGUUCUCGGACUAACAAUAGUAUUUUCAUCCAUUACAUGAAAUAAUAAAAGUACAAAAUAACUCCCCUUAUUUUCUCUUUUCUUUUUUAACUCACUCACUAGUAAUUUAUUCUGUAUCUCUUUUCUUUCUCUUCUUCUCUCUCUCUUUUUUCCUUUCUUUUCUCUUCAUUCCGUACGUGUCUUCCUUCCAUAAGCUCCUCUAUUUUAUAGGCAAAGCAGGAGCACCGAAAGCAAGCAGCGGCAGCUCCUAGUGGAAGGACAUAUUCUUGAUUCCUUUGUUGAGUGGACAUCCAAUAUUUACAACAGAGGAAAGGAAGAAGGCGGUUUCUUCCCAAAAGAAACACAGCUGAAUGGCUUGUUCUUCUCUCUCUCUCAACCUCUCUCAACCUCCCUCUAUCUCUCUCUACCUCUCUCUCUCAACAGGGAUCAACAAAAUUAGGGUUCGGAUUUCCAUAAACCCCUUUUUACUCUUUCUGUGCAAGUCCAAGGAAAGGAAGGGGUUUUUGGGUUUGAUCUCUUGGGUUCCGAAGACCCUUUUCUCAGCGGCAGGAUCGAUAUGAAUUCCCCAAUUUUCAAGAGGAAUCCGCAGUCUCUGAGCAAAAUCCGAGUAGCGACACCGCGCCUGUAGCUUCCGCUGAUUCGAUUGAAUUCCAGGGCAAGAAAAAGUAAAUUUCAAGGGAAGUCAAAGGAUUUUACUCCCACUGCUGCCAAGGUACGUACAAUGUGAUGUUAAAUUUAUCCAAUUUUUCGAUUUGGAUUUAGUUGAUAGUUUUUGGGGUUUUGACUUUUCAGUAGAGCAUUAGUUAAAGCAGUUAUCUUUGUGUCCAUAAAGUUGGUAGCGGGAAAUGAAAAUUACCCUGUUAAUUUGUUGCAGCCGCCAUGGCCUCCGAAAGAAGCAUUCGUGUAAGAGCAACAAGGGCUCGAGCUACUGACGAAUUAUAGUCAUAAUCUAGCUGAAAUUGUAAGAAUUGUGAGUUAAAUUUCAAUGCUUUCGAAUCGUUAUAGUGCUAAGUCAUUUCCUUAAUAUCAAGCUUUAUGCUGAAAUUAUAUACGAUUUUGUGAUCUGAACAUGUUUCAGGGUGAAAAAAAUCCCAACCAGUCUCGGCCAAAUAAGUGAUCUGACGUAUCUAUCCUUAUCUGGCAAUCUCCUUAUUGGUGUCAUUCCGUCUAGUUUGGGGCUGCUUGCCUCUUUAGAAGUGCUUGAACUUUCUUCAAACUAUCUCACUGGUGAGAUACCGAAAGAUAUUGUGAAUCUGCUGUUCUUCUGCUCGACAAGAAUAAUAUUUCUGGUCAGAUUCCAUCUCUCACACUGUCAUCUUUCAAUGUGUCUUUCAAUAACAUAUCAGGUUCACUGCCUGCGAAUAAUAACCUGAUGAAAUGCAAUGCUGAUAUAGGAAACCCGUAUCUACACUCUUGCGCCAUGUUUUCUCUGUCACAGGCAGCUUCUGAUUUUCAAGGAAGAGUUGGCGAUUCACAACCUUUUGCUGCUUCACCAAUGGGAGGUCCAACUCAGGAGAGUGGGAACGGUUUCAGUCCAAUUGAGAUAGCAUCCAUUACUUCUGCAGUGGCCAUAGUUUCAGUGCUGCUUGCUCUUGUUGUUCUGUUCUUAUAUACACGGAAAUGGAAUCCAAAGUCUGGAACUCAAGGGUCUACCAGGAAGGAAGUUACAGUUUUCACAGACAUUGGGGUUCCGUUGACCUUUGAGAAUGUUGUGUGAGGCACAGGAAGUUUCAUUGCUAGCACCUGCAUCGGGAAUGGAGGUUUUGGAGCUACCUACAAGGCAGAGAUAUCACCUGGAAUCGUGGUGGCAAUUAAACGGCUUUCAGUUGGAAGGUUCCCAGGAGUCCAACAGUUUCACGCAGAAAUUAAAACCCUUGGAAGGCUUCGGCAUCCAAAUCUUGUCACUUUGCUUGGUUAUCACGCCAGUGAUACAGAGAUGUUUCUAAUAUACAACUAUUUGGCGGGUGGUAAUUUGGAAAAGUUUAUUCAGGAAAGGUCUACAAGGGAUGUGGAUUGGAGGGUACUUCACAAGAUUGCUUUGGACAUAGCCCGUGCACUUGCCUACCUACAUGAUCAAUGCGUACCACGUGUCCUUCAUCGGGAUGUCAAGCCGAGCAAUAUUUUGUUGGAUGAUGAUUUUAAUGCGUAUCUCUCAGGCUUUGGUUUGGCCAGACUUCUGGGAACUUCAGAGACCCAUGCUACUACCGGCGUUGC
rnacentral:lncRNA from 1 species